ensembl:lncRNA
GUUGGACCAAGUAGGCCCUGUAUCUCUACCCUUUGUGGUGUUUCUAUAAUUGACUGUUACAUCCAGGAUACAGAGACGUUACUUCCUCCCUGUGCUGGGCUGAUUCUCUUCUCCCCCAAUUCUGUUGAUGGUGCCCUGAGGCAAGCCCCAAAGGAUGCCCUGGCUUUGGGGCUCAGCCUCCUGGACCCCUGUGUGCCACUUUCUGACUUGGAGAAGAUGGGGAUCCGGAAGAAACACUGGGGACUCUUCUCCUGUGUGGGCUGGCCCUUAGGCUUCUCAGGACCCUAAGAGGAACGUCCUCUGAAAACAGUGUCUCCCCUCCGUCUGAAACGUGUUUGCAGCACGCAGCAGCAACAUGCCGCUCUGGGCACUAUUUCACUCACGAGAAAACGACUUUCAAGUCCUGCUGUGUUCCAAGGGAUCAGAGAGUGAACUCGCCAGCAGCCAGCCUGGGGCAUGUGUUUCAAGUUGUGUAAUUA